CUGGGCAGUGAAGCCAUAACUGAUCUAGCAAGGAAAGCAAAAGAUCAGCAAUUUAUUUUACUUUCAGAAUAACAGAUAUUUAAUUAUCUGAAAUGACUGAUAUCUAAAUCUCUGCUGGCUGAGGCUGAUGGGAGUUUUAGUCGGAAACAUCUGGAGGUGUCAAGUUGGUAAAGGCUCAGUUUUGAAAAAGGGAUGUAGGAUCCAUAGCUCAGGAUUUUCCCAUUUUAAAAAAUAUCCCCGCUUGACCCCUCCAAAGAGAAAGUAGUAUUUUACGCAGCUAAAAUUCUUUUUCCCUCCAUGCUCUCCCAACACUUACCUGUGGGAUUUUGUAGAUGCCUGACAAGGCUGAAAUCACUUUUGAGAUGAAAGUGUUGCUUCUUUCAAGAACAGCCAGCAGGGGAUUCUGUUCUCCACAGUGAUAAUUGGGAAUAUUGCAUCCACUGCCUGCAAGCAGCUCUAGCAUGGCGUCCGAAGUCAUCCUUGCAUCGAAAUAGUUCUCAUAGAUGUUGUAGCCCAGAGUAAUGUUGGGUAAGAGCCUGAGAUCCUGGUUGAUCUCUUGGAUGGUGAAAAGGAAGGACAACAUGUACCAGGUGAACCUAGGUGACUCCCUGCAAUAAAUGAAUUAUUUAAAAAGAGUGAAACAUAUUCAUAUUAAUGGGAGGGAGGAAACAUUAUAUGAUCCACAAAGAUUAGUAUUUAUUUAUCUUAUUGCUUUAAUAUCAAACCUUUUCCUGUCCAACAUAGAACAAAUAUUUGGAGAUUUCUGCUCCAUGACCGGAGCUUUGAUGCAAACAGCACACAGAGCUGUUCAACAGUGGAACAGACUCCCUCUGAAGGUGACCAUGUGUCAUGGAUGCUUCAGUUUGACAGGCUGAGGGCAGGGGAAGUGUCUUGCAUUUUACUGAGCUGCAAGCUGCUCUGGGAGCCUUUUUACUGAAGAGGGGGGUAGAAGUGAUUGUGAGAAGAAUGGACAGCAAAGCAUGCUGGGAAGAAGGAGGUGAGGGAAAUGAAACCUAAUAAAGGAUAAUUUAUCAAUAAAGCUAAUAAGCAAAACCGAACAAAAGACACCUUGAGAUUUAUUUAUUUGGUUAUACACUGGAAAAACGAGUAAAUUUCAAAUUAAUCCGGAACCCUUCCGCAACACCUUCAGAUUUCUUUAUUUAGUUAUAGAUUGGAAAAUGGGUAAUUUUCAAUUACAGGAAACAGGCUACUUGUUUGUAAGAUGAAUGGGCAGCAAAGCAAAGAAGCUCUGUCAGCAGCACCUGGGAGAGGGGAGAGAAUGUGUGGCAUCUGCCAUGCAGGCAGGUCUCUGCCCCAAGGAAGCUACAAUCAGAGACUGACAAGAGGGAAGGUCUGCAGAUCCUGCACUGAUUGCCUUCUCUGCUUCCCCAAGUUUGCCUGGUUCUCUUUACAGCCACCCAGGCUGGCGGUCACCACUCCUUC
rnacentral:lncRNA from 1 species